AACCACCACCACUCCCCUCAUGCGAUGCCAUGGUCCCUUGGAAGAUUCAUGGGCCACGCUUGCACAUAUAUGCAUACAUACACACAUGCAUGCAUGAGUGCAAAGCUCCAAGCCAUCCUUUAUGGCGAUUUGGUUGGGGACCCACGCAGGACACGGAUGCCCACAGCCUCGCUGCUCCCUGUCCUUUCCGAUGCGAUGGCUCCUCUAGCUGUGUGUGAUGAGUCCUUCGACUUCCACAUCACACCGUACCGCGCAUGAGUAGUUGUCAUGAGCGAAUGAUCUCAUCUGCGCCGGCGGGUAGCGAGCGGUGGCGUGGAGUGCUGGCCAUGCAAUCGUGUGGCGCCAAAUUAAAAGAUCGCCGGCCGGCCGGCCGUGCUGCCUGCUUGCGCGC
rnacentral:lncRNA from 7 species